GGGAGGGGAGAGGGAGGAGGCAAGCCCAGGAAUUGUUUUUUUCUGUCGCCCCGCCCUAGCCGGGCCGGCCAAUGGGGCCGGGCCGUCUCCCUUGGAGCCCCGCCCCACUCGCUGGCCUUCGCCAAUGAGCGGCGGCAGCGGCUCCGCGGGGGCGGGCCCGGGAGGCUGUGCGUGUCUUGUGAGAGCUCUUGAACCAAGUCAGAAGCGAGAGUCGGCUGGGGCGGCUGGAGACGGCGGCGGCCGCCGGUGACUCAGGGAGGCGGGAGGCGGGGGAAGAGCGCCGCGGCCUCGGCUGCGCCGAGAGAAGGCAGGAAGAAAGGGAGGCGCCCUUCCUGCAAGGCGUUGGAAACCAUGGUGCUCACGCUGGGAGAAAGUUGGCCGGUUUUGGUGGGCAAGCGAUUCCUCAGUCUGUCGGCGGCCGACGGCGGCGGCGACGGCGCCCACGACAGCUGGGACGUGGAGCGCGUCGCCGAGUGGCCCUGGCUCUCCGGGACCAUUCGCGCUGUCUCGCACAGCGACAUUACCAAGAAGGAUCUGAAGAUGUGCGUGGAGUUUGAUGGAGAACCUUGGAGGAAGAGAAGAUGGAUUGAAGUCUACAGCCUUCUAAGGAGAGCGUUUUUAGUAGAGCAUAACUUGGUUUUAGCUGAACGAAAGUCACCUGAGAUUUCUGACCGAAUUAUUCAGUGGCCUGCAAUAGUGUACAAACCUCUGUUGGACAAAGCUGGCUUGGGAUCCAUAACUUCUGUUCGCUUUCUAGGAGAUCAACAAAGAGUGUUUCUUUCCAAAGAACUUUUGAAGCCAAUCCAGGAUGUAAAUAGUCUUCGACUUUCUCUUACGGAUAAUCAGAAUGUCAGUAAAGAAUUUCAAGCUUUGAUUGUGAAACAUUUAGAUGAGAGCCAUCUUUUGCAAGGUGACAAAAACUUGGUUGGUUCAGAAGUAAAAAUUUACAGCUUGGACCCAUCUACGCAGUGGUUUUCAGCAACUGUAGUCAGUGGAAAUCCAGCAUCGAAAACUCUUCAUGUGAACUGUGAGCAGGUUCCAGCACUGAAAAUUGUUGAUCCAGCACUGAUUCAUGUUGAAAUCAUACAUGAUAACUUUGUGUCAUGUGGUAAUUCUACAAGAAUUGGAGCUGUAAAGCGCAAAUCUUCAGAGAGUAAUGGGGGCCUGAUUCCCAAACAAGCGAAGUCUGGCCCUGAGGCUUCUCCCAGUAUGUGUCCUGUCCAGUCUGUCCCUACCACAGUUUUUAAGGAAAUACUGCUCGGCUGUACUGCAGCAACUCCACCUAGUAAAGACCCAAGACAGCACAGUACUCCCCAAGCUGCCAACUCUCCACCGAACCUUGGAGUAAAAAUUACUCAAGGAUGUCAUAAGCAGAGUUUACCAGAAGAACUUUCUUCCUGUCUAAUUACAAAGCCUGAAGUACUGAGAACAAAACCAGAUGUUGUCUGUAAAGCAGCAUUGCUUUCUUCACAGUCCUCCCAGAUUGGAACUGGAGAUUUGAAAGUUCUGAGUGAGCCAAGUGGCAGCUGCAGCCAACCUAAGACAGACGCUGAUCAGGAAAACAGAUUGGAAUUUGUUCCACCGCCGCUGACUGACCUUCCCAGGGAGUGCUUAACCACAAAGGCAUCUUCGAAGGCAGAACUGGAAAUGGCCCAUGCUCCAGAACUGCAGAAGCACCCAGAACGUACCCCUUCCAUAUCUGAUGUCCUGGCCAGUAAGCUAGAAGUGAAGGCUGUUGUCAAUAGUGAUAGCCCCAAGAGUUGUGCAGAAAAACAAGCGGAACCUUCAACCUGCCGGUCACAGAACUCAAAGGAAUCUUCAACAAAAGUAGACGGUGAAAGCUGUUGUACAAGAAGCAACAAUAAAUUCCAGAAUGUCCCAUCCCGGAAGUCAGUUUUGACAGACCCGGCUAAACUCCGGAAGCUGCAGCAGAGUGGGGAGGCCUUCGUCCAGGAUGAUUCCUGCGUUAACAUCAUCGCACAGCUGCCCAAGUGCCGUGAGUGUCGCCUGGACAGUCUCCGCAAGGACAAGGAACCACCCAAAGACUCCCCUGUGUUCUGUCGCUUCUUCCACUUCAGGAGGUUACAAUUCAACAAACAUGGUGUGUUAAGAGUGGAAGGCUUCUUAACACCAAACAAGUAUGACACGGAAGCAAUUGGCUUGUGGUUACCUUUGACCAAAAAUGUUGUGGGGACUGAUUUGGACACAGCCAAGUACAUCCUGGCCAACAUUGGAGACCACUUCUGUCAAAUGGUGAUUUCUGAAAAGGAAGCUAUGUCAACCAUUGAGCCACACAGACAGGUUGCCUGGAAACGAGCUGUCAAAGGUGUGCGAGAGAUGUGUGAUGUGUGCGACACCACCAUCUUCAAUCUGCACUGGGUGUGUCCUCGAUGUGGGUUCGGAGUGUGUGUGGAUUGCUACCGGAUGAAAAAGAAGAAUUGCCAACAGGGUGCUGCUUAUAAGACCUUCUCCUGGUUAAGAUGUGUGAAGAGUCAGAUACAUGAACCGGAGAACUUAAUGCCCACCCAGAUCAUUCCUGGAAAAGCCCUCUAUGAUGUUGGAGACAUUGUUCAUUCUGUAAGAGCAAAAUGGGGAAUAAAGGCAAAUUGUCCCUGUUCAAACAGGCAAUUCAAACUCUUUUCAAAGCCAGCCUCAAAGGAAGACAUAAAACAGCCGCCCCCAGCUGGAGAAAAGCCGGCCGUGGGCGCCAUGCUCCAGCAGAGCUCCCCAGCGCUGGAGCCAGCCGCCUUGGGGGCAGAAGCCGCCUCCAAGCCAGCAGGCAGUGGCAAGGCCACCUGUCCAGCCAGCCCAUCUCCUUUAAACUGGUUGGCAGACCUGACCAGUGGCAAUGUCAACAAGGAGAACAAGGAGAAACAACCAACGAUGCCAAUUUUAAAGAAUGAAAUCAAAUGCCUUCCACCUCUCCCUCCCUUGAACAAAUCCAGUACAGUCCUCCAUACCUUUAACAGCACAAUUUUGACACCCGUAAGCAACAACAAUUCUGGCUUCCUCCGGAACCUCUUGAAUUCCCCUGCAGGAAAGACAGAAAAUGGACUCAAGAACACACCAAAAAUCCUUGAUGACAUCUUUGCCUCUUUGGUACAAAACAAGACUUCUAGUGAUGUGGCAAAGAGGCCUCAAGGACUGACGAUCAAGCCCAGCAUUCUGGGCUUUGACACCCCCCACUACUGGCUCUGUGAUAACCGCUUGCUGUGCUUGCAAGAUCCCAACAACAAGAGCAACUGGAAUGUGUUUCGGGAGUGCUGGAAACAAGGACAGCCAGUGAUGGUGUCAGGAGUGCAUCAUAAGUUGAACACUGAACUUUGGAAACCCGAAUCCUUCAGGAAAGAGUUUGGUGAGCAGGAAGUCGACCUAGUGAAUUGUAGGACCAAUGAAAUCAUCACAGGAGCCACAGUAGGAGACUUCUGGGAUGGAUUUGAAGACGUUCCAAAUCGGUUGAAAAAUGAGAAAGAACCAAUGGUGUUGAAACUUAAGGACUGGCCACCUGGAGAAGAUUUCAGAGAUAUGAUGCCUUCCAGGUUUGAUGAUCUGAUGGCCAACAUUCCGUUGCCAGAGUAUACACGGCGAGAUGGCAAGCUGAAUUUAGCCUCCAGGUUGCCAAACUACUUUGUCAGGCCAGAUCUGGGUCCCAAGAUGUAUAAUGCUUACGGAUUGAUCACUCCAGAAGAUCGGAAAUACGGAACAACAAAUCUACACUUAGAUGUGUCUGAUGCAGCCAAUGUCAUGGUGUAUGUGGGCAUUCCCAAAGGACAGUGUGAGCAAGAGGAAGAAGUCCUUAAAACCAUCCAAGAUGGAGAUUCCGAUGAGCUCACAAUAAAGCGAUUUAUUGAAGGAAAAGAGAAGCCAGGAGCCCUGUGGCACAUCUAUGCUGCCAAGGACACGGAGAAGAUCAGAGAAUUCCUUAAGAAGGUAUCAGAGGAGCAAGGUCAGGAAAACCCUGCAGACCAUGACCCUAUUCACGACCAGAGCUGGUAUUUGGACCGAUCCCUGCGAAAACGUCUUCAGCAGGAGUAUGGCGUUCAAGGCUGGGCCAUAGUACAGUUUCUUGGGGACGUCGUGUUCAUCCCGGCGGGAGCACCACAUCAGGCAAGAGCCGCCGCUGUGCUGUCUGUGCCCCUCGUAUGCCGCGGUCUGUGGCUGCCUGACUGAUGGCAUGUGGUGUUUUCCAGGUCCAUAAUUUGUACAGCUGUAUCAAGGUCGCGGAAGAUUUUGUGUCUCCGGAACAUGUGAAACACUGCUUCUGGCUCACUCAGGAAUUCCGUUACCUGUCUCAGACUCACACUAACCAUGAGGACAAGUUGCAGGUGAAGAAUGUUAUCUACCAUGCAGUGAAGGACGCGGUUGCUAUGCUGAGAGCAAGCGAGUGCAGUUUCAGCAAACCUUGAUCCCGCACAUUGCAAGGACGUUCCUGGCAGCUGUUCACUCUUCAGGCAGGCUUCCUGUGGACUCAGACUCAUGUUACCUCAUCAUCUUUUUUAAACCGUACCCAACCUGGGAGGGUACUCAGUCUAAUGUAUAUUUCUAGUGUUUACAGACACUAAGUGUGUAUAUGGAGGAACUAUUUACAGAAUAUGCAUCCAAAAACUGUGACUUUUCUCACCUAGUGCAGAACUUUGACCAAGCUGUAAAACAGAACCUCUCAGCGGUGUUGCGCAGGUCCCUGCUCCGCCAGCGCGGCCCCAGCUGUCAGAGCCCUGUGCGGUCACACGGCCAUCCUUCUCUCCCGUCUGACCACCCUCUCCUGCACC